AUCAGUAGCGUCUUUCCUUCGGCCCCGAGCAGCCGCGCCGCCGAAGCUUGGGCACCCUGCCGCCACAUCGACUCCUCCGCCGUCCGCCGUCCGGUGCGACGCCGGAGCAUCCGUCGCAUGCCGGCGAGCUCACCAUCAAGCAGCAGCAGCCGCGCCGCCCUCCAACUUUGCCUUUUCCCCGUCCUUUCCUGCUCCUCUCUCACCUCUCUGUGCCUCGCCUCCACAGGGACAACGGGACGCCGCCGGCACGCGGAAUGAUGCCGCCCCAACUGGAUCCACACCCUCCUCCAUCGCCUGCUCUCUAUCGUCCGUCCUCGCCUCGAAUCGGUCGUGCCGGCAGCCGUCGUUGCCAGAUCCUCGCGUCGCCGCCCGCUGAAAGAUCCAGCCUCUCACCGUCGAGGGAGGUAGGAACGACGGAGCCGUGCAUGUGUCGGCGCCCAUGUGGUGCGUGCGGAUCCACCGCCUUGCGGAGCGGCUGCAGGCCUGCAGCGCGCCCUGCCUCAAACAACACGCAUGGGCGACGGCUGAGACGUCAGAGGAGCUUCAGCAGGAUGUGGUGAUCCAAUAGUACUCCUUCCAAUACAACACUAAACUAUGCAAAGUGGCCCUUUCUUUCCCCUGCCCAGUUCCAAUCUUUGAUCCGUCCAUGUCGAGGUAAUGUGUACAGAGAACGAGGCUGCCGAGCCAAAUUUGUUGAACGAGGCUGUCAAGUUUGAGGUAAUAUUACUGCUGGCCCAUCACCUUCUUAAAACCGUUUUGUGUUUUUGGUGACGGUCGCCUCUGUAUCAACUCAGCAGGAAAGUAUCUACUCCCUCCGUCCCAUAAUAUAAGAGCGUUUUUGACACUACACUAGUGUUAAAAACGCUCUUAUAUUAUGGGACGGAGGGAGUAUUUGUUAGUGUUAUUUCUGCAAUUUUGUACCGGGCAACUGAUAUAUACGAUGGUUGAAAUAGGCCGAUGGCGCAUCUAUUCACACCAUGGACAUUCAUCGCCUGCUACUCAUGCGCCCACUCUGAAGGCAAGCAAAAGAUGUUAUUCCUAAAGGUUGUUGCUGACACAUAAAAAGCUCCUUAGUGAUAUGAUCCUCUCCAGCACAUCGCUUGAUGGAUCCAGAGGAGCAACCAUCAGCUUAUGAAAAAGGGCAAAUAAAUUGCCUGCUAUUGUUCCUUACCAAGAGUAAUUUCACCAGUGCCUAACUUAAAAUUUGAUCUGUUGCAUCAUGAUAAGAUGUCCAUGAUGUGCAUAGGCAUGAUUAUUUUUACAUUGAAUCGGUUUUCCUAUCUUACAUCCAUGCAUUCACAUAUUAGAAGGUAAAUAUGUUCCAGGCUCUUAUCUACUUGCAUGAAUGUGAACUCUGUAUCCAAUGGUAAAGCAGGCCUUAUCAGGUGACAUGGGCGAGACCUUUCCACAUAUAUGCUUCAUUAGAUAUCACAGUAUAUAUUUUGCAGCAUCUUUGUAUUAUUGAUGCACAAUAUAUUUCUAUUCUAAAUUCUUGACUUCAUCAAAUUUAUAUUGUAGGAAAAAGGAUCAUGGAAUAGCACGCGAGGUGUAUAUUGUUGUUAGCAUCUGCCUAUUUUGAUGCAUUGUAUUUGCAUACAUGUACCAAGAUUUUUGUGAAAUAUACAUUUUCCAGGAGAAUGGAUGAUCGAGUAGCACUCAAGAUGGCAAGGUGGUUGAGAUUUACGAACUGGUGUAUCUUGAGGACUCAUGAUGUAUUUGUGCGUCGAUACAUGUAGAUUUAUGACUAUUUCCAUAUCAUCCACUGUAUCUAUCUAUGUCUCCUUAACUUCAACAUAUUUACCUUGAAUAAUUAUGGUUUAAUACAGGUUCUUUCUCUA